UGCAGUCGAACGAGAGGCUCUUCGGAGUAGUAAAGUGGCAAACGGGUGAGGAAUGCAUGGGUAACCUACCCUUGAGAAGGGAAUAACCCGCCGAAAGGUGAGCUAAUACCCUAUACGCUACACUUUCUAUGGGAGGUGUAGGAAAGCUAAGCCGUGGGUUUGGCACUCAAGGAGGGGCUCAUGUCCUAUCAGCUUGUUGGUAGGGUAACGGCCUACCAAGGCAACGACGGGUAGCUGGUCUGAGAGGAUGAUCAGCCACACUGGCACUGAGAUACGGGCCAGACUCCUACGGGAGGCAGCAGUGAGGAAUAUUGCGCAAUGGGCGAAAGCCUGACGCAGCGACGCCGCGUGGGGGAUGAAGGUUCUCGGAUUGUAAACCCCUUUUGUGAGGAAAGAGAAAGUGGGUAACCACUUAGACGGUACCUCAAGAAAAAGCCACGGCUAACUUCGUGCCAGCAGCCGCGGUAAUACGAAGGUGGCGAGCGUUGUUCGGAUUUACUGGGCGUAAAGAGCACGUAGGCGGUUGGGUAAGCCUCUUGGGAAAGCUCCCGGCUUAACCGGGAAAGGUCGAGAGGAACUACUCAGCUAGAGGACGGGAGAGGAGCGCGGAAUUCCCGGUGUAGCGGUGAAAUGCGUAGAUAUCGGGAAGAAGGCCGGUGGCGAAGGCGGCGCUCUGGAACGUACCUGACGCUGAGGUG
rnacentral:rRNA from 1 species